rnacentral:misc_RNA from 1 species
GAAAGAGACGAUGUCCCAACAUCUGAUAGCAGCAGAAGUUAUGUAAAUCCUCAAAAAAACAUUCAAAUGGUGACAUGGAUGCAAAUUUACAAGCAUGCACAGACACAGUAGAAAGAAAAGCAGAUUAGGUGAUGCCAUCUUACAGAAAAGAAUAACCAAGGAACAUGCAUGACUUUUGAUGAAAAUGAGAAUCAGUGAUGACCAUCCUCACAUCUAAUCAUGAUAAUUUAGUACUGUAAUAACUACACCAUGUUGAAAAAUAUAGGCAAACUCAAGCAGCAAUCAGUACAAGAUAAUGACCCUGAUAAGGCAACAAUUCAGUUUUUCCCUACACUUGUUUUCUGCACUAGAUUACUAUAUUCUUAUAUAUCAAGUCCAUUUGAUAAAAGAACGAGGAAACUCUUCCUAGUUAGUGCAAUAAACAUACAGGAAUAUCAAAGGAUUUAUAAGUUUAGGAUAUUGAUGCAGACCUGGUAUCUAACAGAGUUGAAAAGCGAAAAAGUAUCCAUACAGAUGACUCCAAUUAAUUUGGAAAUAAGGCUCAAUUUUUGUUGUUGUAUGAUCAAUCAUUUUCUGGCUGAGGAUCCAAAGAUCUGGAUUGGCUAAAAUUCUACCAUAUUUCUACAUAUGCUAUCGCAAGAAAUGGAAAAUCAUAAUUGAUAAAAGGCUCACACCAUUUACAAAUGUGAAAAGGGAACCUUUCAGAAAUUCUGACAGUAGACCAGAAAAAAAAAAAAAUUCCAUGAAUACAAUCAAGUUUGAAAUAUUUCCCAGUUACUAAAUAAUACAGGAAAUAGGAUGAUUUGAUGCACAAUUUACAUAAUUACAAGAAUAUGAGAAGCUACUACCAUUAUAGUGAUUCCUUCCAUUAUUCCCCAACUGUAAGUGGAUUAAACACUAUAUUAACUUCAUCCGUUUAUACAUUCACAGGACACACAAGCUCUACAUGGAAUAAGUCAAACCUGUUUGAGACAUGAAAUAG